GCCAAGUUACGCACACACACAGUAACGUUGUACCGGACUACCGCUACACCGCCGCACACUCACACCGGGGGAGAGUCCUCGUCUGCGGGCACAAGGAUGAACCGGAGAGCCUGAGGUGGAGCGUCUCAAGUGUCGUGACUCUGGAGUGAUAAAUGUUAACCUCGCCUGAUUUUUGUAUGGGUCAUUCUCCUCAGACAAAGAUCUCCCCUGGCGUACAGAACAAACGAGUCGACUCUAGCAGAGCUUCUCCCUUCCUCAGU